rnacentral:rRNA from 1 species
GACGAACGCUGGCGGCGUGCUUAACACAUGCAAGUCGAACGGAAAGGCCCUGCUUUUGUGGGGUGCUCGAGUGGCGAACGGGUGAGUAACACGUGAGUAACCUCCCCUUGACUUUGGGAUAACUUCAGGAGACUGGGGCUAAUACCGGAUAGGAGCUCCUGCUGCAUGGUGGGGGUUGGAAAGUUUCGGCGGUUGGGGAUGGACUCGCGGCUUAUCAGCUUGUUGGUGGGGUAGUGGCUUACCAAGGCUUUGACGGGUAGCCGGCCUGAGAGGGUGACCGGCCACAUUGGGACUGAGAUACGGCCCAGACUCCUACGGGAGGCAGCAGUGGGGAAUAUUGCACAAUGGGCGGAAGCCUGAUGCAGCAACGCCGCGUGCGGGAUGACGGCCUUCGGGUUGUAAACCGCUUUCGCCUGUGACGAAGCGUGAGUGACGGUAAUGGGUAAAGAAGCACCGGCUAACUACGUG